rnacentral:rRNA from 1 species
UGCCAGCCGCCGCGGUAAGACGGAGGGCUCUAACGUUGUUCGGAAUCACUGGGCAUAAAGCGCACGUAGACGGUUAUAUAAGUCAGAUGUGAAAUACCCGGGCUCAACCUGGGUUUGCCAUUUGAAACUGUAUAACUAGAGUAAAGGAGAGGAAAGUAGAAUUUCCGGUGUAGCGGUGAAAUGCGUAGAUAUCGGAAGGAAUAUCAGUGGCGAAGGCGACUUUCUGGCCUAUUACUGACGCUGAGGUGCGAAAGCAUGGGUAGCAAACAGGAUUAGAUA